UUUUGAUUUAACGAAUCCGCGAUGGAAAAAUUUUUGAAAGCCAUAUAUCACUACAAUAAUGCACAUAAUUUUAAAUUAAGCACAAAUAUCCAUAAUCUUAUUCUCAAUUCAAUUUGAUAAUAUAAUUUCUCACUGCAUCUUCAAAUCGAAAAUUUUGCCUUUGAAAAGAUUAAUAAUCAUCUCAUCCAAUGCAAAUAAAAAAUAAAAAAUAAUAUAUCAAAUUAAUUAAGAAUAAAUCCACAUCUCAA
rnacentral:lncRNA from 1 species